AGAAAAAAUGACAGCUUCCUGUGAUACAACUGAUAAAGGUAGGCCCAGGAAUUCUGCCAGCUCCAGGAUGUUUGCAACACACAUGAGUUACUCUGGGAUUAUCUCUUCUGUAUUGAUUAGGCUUUUAAGUUUGCAGCUUAAACUUCCUCUGAGCUGCUCAAACAAAUUCAGGAGAGAUCUGUAGCAAUGUGGAAUGAUGGAUUUAAGAUCACACCA